GCUACAGCUAUGCCUAUACUCUGUGAAUCUGGGGUUACGCUAUGGUUACGUUACCUAACCAACAUUGUUGCUGUGGUACCACCUGUUACUCAAAGUGGCCAUGCCCUUAAUUAUGCAUAACUUUAAGCCUUAAUAAAAAUUUAACGAGUGAGUUAUAUAAAAAUUCACCCCCUGUACAGUUGUUGUGAACAAGGAAAUUAGCUGUAGAGACCAAAACCGUUUUUUGUACCAAGGUGCAAACAUGUUUUUUUUCUGCUGUAAAGUUGGGCAUUUUAACAUGGGGGUCUGUGGGGAUUGACUCGCUUUCAGAGCCAGAGGUGUAACUACAAAAAGGCAUUAAAACUGUUUUUCUCAAAGCCCAGGAAAAUUAAAUGUAGUGGUGGAAAGUACCUAAGCACAUUUACUGAAGUACUGUGAUUAAAUACAAUUUUGAGGUAUUUAAAAAACAGUUUGAGGCUCAGAAGGUAAAAUUAUCCAAUGUUUUACAAAAAGGGAAAGAUUUGUUUAGCAGAACUUAUUUUUUUCUUCUUUACUAUCCCAACACCUAGGAGACGGGACACAUGUACAAACACACUCAAAUGCAUAGUUGACAAGAAAAGUUUUUUUUUAAUUAAAGCAUACUUUGAAGACCAUCUAACUCUUAACAGGUAAGUACUGAACUAGAAAUUAUUUUACAUGUUAACUAGCUAGCAUAGUGGUUACCUUGAUAAUAACAAAUGAAUUGUUAAAAAAAGAAUUUGUAUGCUCAUUCAAAUUUGACCUUUUCACAUCUCCUUGAAACAAGACAGACAACAUCUGCAAUUGUGGGUGCUUAUCAAAAACUGAAGACACUCAUCAGCCAGACAUCUCUGUUACUAAAAUCAGAAUUUCUGGUCCACCAUAAAGCCAAAAAAAAGUGGGCUGCCCACAAGCCGUGCAGUAAGACUGCCCAGGAGGAGCUCCUUGACUUGGAGAGGGAGAAAGUGCAGCUGAUGAGAGAACAACUGGUAAUAGAAAAGAAAAGGUUGACAUUGGACAGAGCGAAAUUUGAAUUCAUGAAGGAACAUUGUAAAAGACAGGAAGCUCAAAGGCAUAACGAUUUUGAUUUAUUUGAAAUGUAGGAUAAAAAGAUGAAAAAUAAGAAUAUAUGUUGUUGUGGACAUUGUAUUGUAUUGGUUAAAUAAUAUAUUUAUUUAAUCUUCCUGAAUUUAAUGUUUUACAUCAAAAAUGAAAGUGAAGUUGUUUCCAGUGUUCCUGCCA